CCUAANACAUGCAAGUUCGAACGAAGCUUUGACGAACGAUUCUUCGGAUGAAUUCUGAUAUGACUGAGUGGCGGACGGGUGAGUAACGCGUGAGCAACCUGCCCUUUCAGAGGGGGGAUAGUGUCUGGAAACGGACAGUAAUACCGCAUAAUGUACAUUGAUGGCAUCUUCGAUGUACCAAAGCUUUUGCGCUGAAAGAUGGGCUCGCGUCUGAUUAGAUAGUUGGUGGGGUAACGGCCUACCAAGUCGACGAUCAGUAGCCGGACUGAGAGGUUGAACGGCCACAUUGGGACUGAGAUACGGCCCAGACUCCUACGGGAGGCAGCAGUGGGGAAUAUUGCACAAUGGGGGAAACCCUGAUGCAGCGACGCCGCGUGGAGGAAGAAGGUCUUCGGAUUGUAAACUCCUGUUGUUGAGGAAGAUAAUGACGGUACUCAACAAGGAAGUGACGGCUAACUACGUG
rnacentral:rRNA from 1 species